AUUGAGAAUGUUGCCUGUCUGAGCCCUGAGAUGAGCUGAGGGUUCCUCCUCCCCAGCCAGCACCAGCCUCACACAGCCCUUGUAAAUCUGAAAGUGCUGUUGGUAGCAACCAGGGAUGGGCAGAGGCAGCCCUGUCCUGAGGGUGACAUGAAAGUGAGAGCAAGCUGAAGCUCCAGUUGGCUUAGUCUUCAAAAGUGUCACUUUCAGAUUAUAUCCCUCAGCUUUAAAAUAUCCUUCUUUGAAGUCCAUCCUGCUCUGCCCACUAUUUGUCCCCGGUGGUCACUUCCUCCUCUGUGCUCCCGUGGCCUGGGAUUCACACCAGGAAAGAACGCCACGAAGAAGGAAUGACAAGAAAAUGGAGGCAAAGAACAUUGGAGUCACUCCCUGGCUACACACACUGAGGUGAUAACCAAGAACAAAGAAGAAAUAAGAGGAGGAGGAGAGCAAGAGAUAGAGGCAAGGAGCUGUACUGGAAAUCUACAAUAACUCAUGGAGGGAGGAAAUGUCUUACAGAAGAGGCAUUAGAUUGAACAUCCCGUGGUGUUUUCUCCCCCUCGGUUUCUGGAAAACCAUAUACUUUCAUUUAUAAACUCUAUGCCCAGAUCCCAAAGUAGGAAUCAAGAGCUCCUUUGAGGACAUGCAACCCUUCUCAGAAGUGACUCACAUAACAGGAUGAGGUAAGAUGAAGGCGGCACUGCGGGUCCAACCCUGGUUGAGGAUCAGGGUCUGGUACCCUUUGAUUUCUGGUGCUCAAAAAGGGCCGGUGUGCCGCAGUGAGUGCCAGUUUGAAUGAAGGAAGCAUGCGUGGCCUGAAGCCUCACCGUGUUCCAGGCGUCCAGUUAAGUGCUCUGCACAUAAUAUCACACAUUGCGCUCCACGAUAAGAACAAAUUCUCACAUGGGAACCGAGCAAAGUGUAAUGGAUGUUCCCAGGAGCUGCCUAUGGGAUUCAAGAAAACUGUAUGAGAGGAGUAACAUUUGGGCUGGAAGCGAAAAUACAAGUAAACAUAUGUCAAAUGGCAUGGGCUCAGCUCAGCACAGCUGCUUGGGAAGCGGGUCUGGAAAGCAAUCCUCCACAGAAAGAAAGCAGAAUCUUCUGGGCAUUUCUGAGCAAGUGGACUUCCUUCAGCUGAGCACAGUCCUCAGGAGAAGCGGACAGGUGCAAAGUGUUGGAAGCCAACACUCACAGCAGUUGGGGGUUGGAGUGCUCUGGCUUCCAACAGCAUUGAAACCAACAGCAUUGACUACAGCGAGUUUCUCAAUCUUCAGAACACAUCCCAGCCUCCCUGGGGGCUGCUAAUGCACAGAUUGCCGUUUCCCACUCCAAGAGUUUCUGAUUCCAGAGGUCUGGGGUAGGGCUCGAUAAUUUGUUCUUCUAACCACCUAAUGCUGUUGGUCCAGUGACCACACUUUGAGAAAUGCUGUACUAUGUUUUCUCAUAUAUUUAAAAAUUCUCACCUCAUUUAUGGUUUAAAACUUCUAGAACAAUUCUGAAUAGUUUUUGUAAUAGUGAGCCUCACUUUCCUGUCUCUGCCCUUAAUGGGAAUGUCUCUAAUGAUUCACCUUUCAUACGGGGACUUGUUGUGGUUUACUGGGCAAUUCCUUUUGGCAGGUUAAAAAAAUUCCCUCUGUUUCAAGCUAAAGCCAUUUACCAGGAAGAGACGCUAAGUUUUAUCAGAGGGUUUUUCCAGUAACUAUUGUGAUAAUCAUGGUUUUUUUUCCUAUUUAUUACGAUAUCAAACAUGAAACUUAUUUGAAGUCCUGGAUUAAACGGUGCUUGUUUUCUAUAAUGUUUUGUUCCUUAAAUGUACUGACAAAUUUAAUUUAUUAUUUUUUUAGGAUUUGAGGUACAAGUUCAUACGUGAUAAUGACUUACUGUUUUGUUUUCAUUAUUUCCUCCUUCCAUCCUUUCUUGAUAUCCUUUUUAUCUCUUGGUUUCAAAAUUACACUAGCGUCAUAGAAUGAGUUGGAAAUUAGCCCAUUAUUCUCCAUGCCAUGGAGUGUUUUGCAAAACAUAAGAAUGAUCAGUUCCUUACAUAUUUGGUAGAAUUUACCUUAUAAAACACAGUAGGUUUUGUGUCUCUUCUGGAGUCCAGAUACUGCUAUGGACUGAAUGUUUGUACCCUCUAAGAUUCAUUAGGUUGAAAUCCUAGCCUCAAAGUGGUGGUAUUAGGAGGUGGGACUUUUGGGAGGUGAUCAGGCCAAGAGGGUGGAGCCCUCAUGAAUGGGAUUAGUGCCCUUAUCAAAUAAGGCAAAAGGAGCUCUUUAACCUCUCCCACCAUGUGAGGACAAAGUGAAAAGACACCAUCUAUGAACCAGGAAGCAGGGCCUCACCGGAUGCCAAACCUGCCAGCACCUGGCCCUUGGACUUCCAGCCACCAGAACUGUGAAGAAGAAAUUUCUAUUGCUUAUAAAUACCCAGUUUACGGCAUUCUGUUAUAGAAGUGCCUAAUAGGCUAAGGCAAAUACUAUAUGGUAUUUAGGAUUGCUUCUGUAUAUUUUUAAGACUUUUUUAUUUUGGAAUAAUAAUAAUUCACAGAAAAUUUACAGAGAAAGUCUCCACAUGCCCCUCACCCCACUUCCCCUAAUGUUAACAUAACCGUGGUCCAUUUGUCAAAACUAAGAAAUGAGGAUUGGUACCAUACUAUUGACUGAAUUACAGACAUUACUUGGAUUUUGUCAAUUGUUUUACUAAUAUUCUAUUAUUUCUGUGUCAGAUUCCAAUCUGGAUAACAUGUUGCAUUUGUUCAUCACGUCUCCUUUGUUUUUCCUGGGCUGUGACAGUUUCUUAUUCUUUUCUUGUAUUGCCUGGCUUUGAAUUUUGAGGAAUUCUGGUUAAGUAUUUUGUAAACUGUCACUAAAUUUUGCUUGUCAGAUGUUUUCUCCUGGGUUAGACUGGGCUUACAGGUUUUGGGGAAGAACUCUACAAAAGGGAAAUGUCUUUCUCAUCUCAUCUAAUAAAUGGAUAUAGGAUAUCA
rnacentral:lncRNA from 1 species